AACAAAAAAUAAAAUAAAAAUAUAAUCCUCUUUUUUGCAACAGGUCUCAUGGCCUUAGCUGGUAUUUAUAAUCACCUUCUACUACUCAUUCUGUAUAUGCUCCACCUCAAGCACUUCAGCAGCGUUUUGGCUCUUUGCCUGGAGAAGUGAUUCACACCUUCAUUCCUGAAACCUGCCAGAGGCUCCAAAUAGCAUCUUUAUCUGCCACUGAUACCUCAAGUACCACUGGGUCUCCUGGAUCAUAUGGUGCUAGUGGUAGAGCAGCUCGUACAACAGUCUGGAUCUCUUGAAAAGCCUCCUGUGCCAGGUCUGACUCGUCUUUCUGGGUCAGUGGUAAACGGGCCGGAGUAACACACCGAAGGGAGGAAAGCUGUGUCUCCAGAAUCCAAAUGGACCUACUAAACAUUGUACUUCCUUCUUGGUGGCAGGAGGGACCAGAUGCAAAAACUUAUCCUUCACCUUGGAAGGAAUAUCUCUAUAUGCCUAUACUACUGAACUCUUAAGGAUUUUAAUGAGGUAGAUGGCCCUUGAAUUUUUGGCUGGAUUUGUUUCCUCUGAUGCACGUAUGUGUUACCAAAAAGUCCAAAGUGGUGUCUACCUACUGCUCUCUUGGUCUUUGUGGAAGAGACUGAUAAUCGUGAUCCCUUCUGGCUAAGUUGUGACUCAUAUCUGGAAAGUUAAUAUAUUCUUGAGUCAAAACUGGAAAGGUACUACUGCUGGCCUUGCUAACUGAAAGCAAAUUGUUCCUUGUGGUCUUUUAAGUAGAUGUAGAGAAAAGGGCAUUAGUUAGAUCAAUAGCUGCAUACCAUGUACCAGGAGAUGUGUUAAUUUGCUCAAGUAGGGACACCACAUCGGGUACUGCAGCUGCAAUCAGAGUCCCUAUUUGAUUGACUCUUUCAUAGUCAACUGUUAUUCUCCAUGAUCCACCUGUCUUCUGUACUGGCUAGAUAGAAGGGCUAAAAGGAGAUGUGGUGGGAACCCCCACCCCAGCAUCUUUCUAGUCCUUGAUGGUGGCACUAAUUUCUGGAAUUCCUCCAGGGAUGCAAUACUGGUUUGGGGUUACUAUUUUCCCUGGCAGAGGCAACUCUAAAGGCUUCCAUUUAUCCUUUCUAACAAUAAUAGCCCUCACCCACAUAUGAGGGGACCAGUGUGAGAAUUCUGCCAACUUUUAAGUCUAUCUAUCCCAGCUAUACAUUCUGGAACUAAGUUGUGGAAAUAACCACAGAAUGAGUUCAAGAACCCAUUUGGACCUACUGUGAGUUGGAGUUCAGCCAAAACUCUCUUAGUCACCUGAUCUCCAUAAGCCCCUACUUUAACUGGAGGGCCACAAUAUGUUUUAGUAUCUCCCAGAAUCCGUGUUAAUUAAGAACUGGUAUCCAAUAGACCUCAGAAAUUCUGAUUGUUUACUUUCCCCAGUAUAUAGAAAGUUACCCUCUAGCCAGUGCCUAUGAGUCAUGCCACCAUAAAGUUCACUUGGACUGUGCUCCAGACCGAAAGGGCAAUAACAAAGCUUUCCAAAUGUGCCAGUGCCCCUCUCACCAUUUUGUGUUGAGGGGCAUAUCAUCUGGCCCUUCCCAUUGCAGAGGAUUAGGCUUUAAGCAGCAUACCCACUCUGGCAUUGCACUUUCCCUGAGCCUUAAAAAUCCCCUCAUCAAUGAUAAGCCAUAGGACACCAGGCAUCUCCAGCUCCUUUUCAGAGGGCUGUAUUUUCAGAAGUGCUUCAGCCAACCAUUCAAACAAACUUUUGGCACAUUUUUUUUUAAUUGUGGGAGAUUCCAUAUGAAACCUAGAGUCUCCAAUCAGAGGGCGCACAUCAUUAACUCAGGCUGGUCUAGUUUUAUGUUUCCUACACCAUUAUUUUACACUCUUAAAAUCCAUUCCCACAUGUGUUCUCCAGACUUCUGCUUGAAUGAGGUACUCAGUAAGCUCCUUACUAAUGUAGUGCACCUCCUUAUGUACCACACUUUCUACCUCCCCUCUAGGAGCCUGCUCUGCCUUGAGUCUGGUUAUAGGUUUAGAUGCAACUAUUGAUGAGCCCCAAGGGACAUAAGGAUUGUCUUGCCCAGCAUUUCCUUCAGGGAAAAUCAUUUCUGGUUUAGCAGACAAUGAAGGAUUAAUUUCCUCAAAGGUGAAAAAGGCAAUAUUUCCAGGGAUGGAGAUGAUAGUAGAGAGACUGCUCCCUCGGGUCAUAUAAACCCUUGAGAAUUUGAGGGCUCAAAGUUCUCAGCUUCAAUAGAGUCCUCCCACACAUGCCUAUCUGUACCGGUUGGUUAUGUGUGUCAACUUGACACAAGCUGGAGUUAUCACAGAGAAAGGAGCCUCACUGGAGGACAAUGCCUCCAUGACACCCAGCUAUAAGGCAUUGUCUCAAUUAGUGAUCAUGGGUGGGAGGGCCCAUUGUGGGUGGUGCCAUCUCUGGGCAGGUAGUCCUGGAUUCUAUAAAAAAGCAAACUGAGCAAGCCAGUAGCAUCCCUCCAUGGCCUCUGCAUCAGCUCCUGCUUCCUGACCUGCUUGAGUUCCAGUCCUGACUUUGGUGAUGUAGUAAUGUGUAAGUGUAAGCUGAAUAAACCCUUUUCCUGCC
rnacentral:lncRNA from 1 species